GAUGAAGAACGUAGCGAAAUGCGAUUAGUAAUGUGAAUUGCAGAAUUCAGUGAAUCAUCGAAUCUUUGAACGCACAUUGCGCCCCCUGGUAUUCCGGGGGGCAUGCCUGUUCGAGCGUCAUUUCAACCCUCAAGCUCUGCUUGGUAUUGAGUCCAUGUCAGCAAUGGCAGGCUCCAAAAUCAGUGGCGGCGCCGCUGGGUCCUGAACGUAGUAAUAUCUCUCGUUACAGGUGCUCGGCGUGCUUCUGCCAAAACCCCAAUUUUUCUAUGGUUGACCUCGGAUCAGGUAGGGAUACCCGCUGAACUUAAGCAUAUCAAUAAGCGGAGGA
rnacentral:misc_RNA from 1 species